AAUCCGGAGUUUAGUAGUGCCUUUCUAUGUGGCACUAAUUGCAUGCAAGAUAAUUUUAAUGUCAACUUCCUCAUGGGAACUAUGAAGAAACUCCACUGAACAGAGCAAGGCAGCAGCUUCAUUAUGCCGUGUGAUGACAAAACUCUUCUAGCAGGUGCUGUGUACAGAAGAUUUAUAAAAAGGACCUCACUUGGCUACAGCCUCUACUUCAAGUAUCUGAGAGCAGGAAAGGAUGAGAUGUUAAGCAGAUGUCUUGUGCAGCUGUGGCUUUUAAGGAUCCCACUGCACUUUUUGUAAGACUGAGCCAAGGCAUUUUAGCUGAAUUCCAGUCCGAGUCAGUGUUUCGAUUUAACUUAACUUGAUUCCUCCUACAGUUUAAGGCCCUAGUCUUGCAAGGGGAAUCUGUCUGCACAGAGCUCAUUGCAGUAUCAGGGCCUAAAUGUGAUAGGAUUCAAUAUCUUAUUUUUUACUUCCAGAAUUGUUGGGAAGUGCUGCAGUAGAGUGUCAAACAUUUUCAUGUGCCUCUUCAGAAUGACUACAUUUCAGUAGUGAAUGAUUUGAUUCCUGUACAUAUUGUAUAUACUGUUAUGCUGGGUUUGGGUUAAACCUCAGAAACUGGUGGGCAUAUCUGCAGCCCUUCAUUCAGAAUAAAAGUAGGAAACAAUCAAGCUCCUUUAUGGAAAACUGAAACUAUAGGAAUCACCAUCCAAAACACAGGGCAUGCAGGGCUGGUCAGAAAAUGAACAAUGUGGGUGGAUGGGUUUCAGUACGUAUUGUUUUCUGGAGCUCUCUCUCUCUCUCUCUGUGUGUGUAUGAAGAUGCAGUGAGAAACACACAGCAGACAGAAAGCAGUAAGAAGCAUCAAAUACAGACACACAAGCACUGGUAGUGUGACCCUGAGAAAAAGCUAAGAAAACUUUUGGGCUAAGUGCUGUCUGGGCUAGGAGCUAGGAGCAAAUAAACUCUUUCCUUGUUUGAUUUCUGCUGUGUUCAGGAAAACACAACUUUAUGCACAGUUUGUAAAUAAAGAGGAUUGCAUAAAAAAACA